rnacentral:rRNA from 1 species
GACGUAACCUCUGUUGUUCAUGACGAACGAGCUUUUUAUCAACAACGAAGAGCAGUGACGGUAGUGAACGAGGAAGCCACGGCUAACUACGUGCCAGCAGCCGCGGUAAUACGUAGGUGGCAAGCGUUGUCCGGAAUUAUUGGGCGUAAAGCGCAUGUAGGCGGUUUGGUAAGUCGGUCGUGAAAAUGCGGUGCUUAACGCCGUAUGGCGAUCGAAACUGCGGAACUUGAGUGCAGGAGAGGAAAGGGGAACUCCCAGUGUAGCGGUGAAAUGCGUAGAUAUUGGGAAGAACACCGGUGGCGAAGGCGCCUUUCUGGACUGUGUCUGACGCUCAGAUGCGAAAGCCAGGGUAGCGAACGGGAUUAGAUACCCCGGUAGUCCUGGCCGUAAACGAUGGGUACUAGGUGUGGGAGGUAUCGACUCCUUCCGUGCCGGAGUUAACGCAAUAAGUACCCCG